UACAGAGGGGGCAAGCGUUAUUCGGAAUUACUGGGCGUAAAGGGCUCGUAGGUGGCCAACUAAGUCAGACGUGAAAUCCCUCGGCUUAACCGGGGAACUGCGUCUGAUACUGGAUGGCUUGAGUUCGGGAGAGGGAUGCGGAAUUCCAGGUGUAGCGGUGAAAUGCGUAGAUAUCAAGAGGAACACCUGAGGCGAAGGCGGGUUGCUAGGCUGACACUGACGCUGAAGCGCGAAAGCCAGGGGAGCAAACGGG
rnacentral:rRNA from 1 species